AAUACACGCCUCUGGGGCCCUGUGGUGUUACAUAAUACUUACGAAUCGCCUGGCCUUGAGCCGGCGAUGGUUCAUUCAAAUUUCUGCCCUAUCAACUUUCGAUGGUAGGAUAGUGGCCUACCAUGGUGGCAACGGGUAACGGGGAAUUAGGGUUCGAUUACCGGAGAGGGAGCCUGAGAAACGGCUACCACAUCCAAGGAAGGCAGCAGGCGCGCAAAUUACCCAAUCCCGAUACGGGGAGGUAGUGACAAUAAAUACUGAUACGGGGCUCUUUCGGGUCUCGUAAUUGGAAUGAGAACAAUUUAAAUCCCUUAACGAGGAACAAUUGGAGGGCAAGUCUGGUGCCAGCAGCCGCGGUAAUUCCAGCUCCAAUAGCGUAUAUUAAAGUUGUUGCAGUUAAAAAGCUCGUAGUUGAACCUUGGGUCUGGCUGGCCGGUCCGCCUCACCGCGAGUACUGGUCCGGCUGGACCUUUCCUUCUGGGGAAACCCAUGGCCUUCACUGGCUGUGGGGGGAA
rnacentral:rRNA from 1 species